AGUGAACGCUGGCGGUAGGCCUAACACAUGCAAGUCGAACGGCAGCACAGUAAGAGCUUGCUCUUACGGGUGGCGAGUGGCGGACGGGUGAGGAAUACAUCGGAAUCUACUUUUUCGUGGGGGAUAACGUAGGGAAACUUACGCUAAUACCGCAUACGACCUACGGGUGAAAGCAGGGGAUCUUCGGACCUUGCGCGAUUGAAUGAGCCGAUGUCGGAUUAGCUAGUUGGCGGGGUAAAGGCCCACCAAGGCGACGAUCCGUAGCUGGUCUGUGAGGAUGAUCAGCCACACUGGAACUGAGACACGGUCCAGACUCCUACGGGAGGGAGCAGUGGGGAAUAUUGGACAAAGGGCGCAAGCCUGAUCCAGCCAGACCGCGUGGGUGAAGAAGGCCUUCGGGUUGUAAAGCCCUUUUGUUGGGAAAGAAAAGCAGCAGGUUAAUACCCCGCUGUUCUGACGGUACCCAAAGAAUAAGCACCGGCUAACUUCGUG
rnacentral:rRNA from 1 species